rnacentral:rRNA from 1 species
UACGUAGGGUGCAAGCGUUGUCCGGAAUUAUUGGGCGUAAAGAGCUCGUAGGCGGUCUGUCGCGUCGGCUGUGAAAACCCGGAGCUCAACUCCGGGCCUGCAGUCGAUACGGGCAAACUGGAGUGUUGCAGGGGAGACUGGAAUUCCUGGUGUAGCGGUGAAUGCGCAGAUAUCAGGAGGAACACCGGUGGCGAAGGCGGGUCUCUGGGCAACAACUGACGCUGAGGAGCGAAAGCGUGGGGAGCGAACAGG